UACCAGCACCCCGAGUGGUCGGGACGUUUAUUGGGCCUAAAGCAUCCGUAGCCGGUUCUACAAGUCUUCCGUUAAAUCCACCUGCUUAACAGAUGGGCUGCGGAAGAUACUAUAGAGCUAGGAGGCAGGAGAGGCAAGCGGUACUCAGUGGGUAGGGGUAAAAUCCGUUGAUCCAUUGAAGACCACCAGUGGCGAAGGCGGCUUGCCAGAAUGCGCUCGACGGUGAGGGGUGAAAGCUGGGGGAGCAAACCGG
rnacentral:rRNA from 1 species